GAUGAAGAACGCAGUGAAAUGCGAUAAGUAGUGUGAAUUGCAGAAUUUAGUGAAUCAUCGAAUCUUUGAACGCACAUUGCGCCCUUUGGUAUUCCUUAGGGCAUGCCUGUUCGAGCGUCAUCUACACCCUCAAGCACAGCUUGGUGAUGGGCGCCUGUCCCGCCCCCCACGGGGGCGCGGACUCGCCUCAAAUGCAUUGGCGGCCGGCGACCUGGCUUCGAGCGCAGCAGAAACGCGUACUCGGGGACCGGGCGCCCGCUCCCAGAAGCCAACCCACCCAGUUUGACCUCGGAUCAGGUAGGGAUACCCGCUGAACUUAAGCAUAUCAAUAAGCGGAGGA
rnacentral:misc_RNA from 1 species